UUAGUUGCAAAAAAUGCUCUGCAGCUGGGCUGCACCUAAAUGAACCUAACUGGUGCACUGUGAGCGACCACCAUCUAGCCGCUGGAUUUCCAUCGCUUCCAUCCAGAACAUAUGAAUUUGCUUAGACAGACGCUUUUGAGGAGUUGAACAGAUAGGUCGGCGAAAAUGGCCCAGCGCGUGGUUUUGGUUCUACUGUGGCUCUUUGACAGAUCUUUCGCCGGAUUUCCAAAUCAAAUUAACAUUGGGGGACUGUUCAUGCGUUCCACGGUGCAGGAGCACAGCGCGUUCAGGUUCGCUGUCCAACUGUACAACACCAACCAAAACACCACUGAGAAGCCUUUCCACCUCAACUACAACGUCGACAACCUGGAGUCGUCCAACAGCUUCUCAGUGACCCAUGCGUUCUGCUCGCAGUUCUCCCGCGGCGUCUACGCCAUCUUCGGAUUCUACGACAAGAAGUCCAUGAACACGCUGACCUCGUUCUGCGGCGCCCUGCACACGUCCUUCGUCACGCCCAGCUACCCCACCGACAACGAGGUGCAGUUCGUCAUCCAGAUGCGCCCGGCCCUCCGCGGCGCCGUCCUCAGCCUGCUCUCCCACUACAAGUGGAACAAGUUCGUCUACCUCUACGACACUGAGCGAGGCUUCUCCAUACUGCAGGCCAUCAUGGAGGCGGCUGUGGCGAAGAACUGGAAGGUGACCGCCCGCUCCGUUAGCGGCACGACCGACGCGGCCGAGUUCAAGCGCAUCAUUGAGGAGAUGGACCGGAGGCAGGAGAAGAUGUAUGUGAUCGACUGCGAGGUGGACAGGAUCAACACCAUAUUAGAACAGGUCGUGACCCUUGGGAAGAACAGCCGCGGCUACCAUUACAUCCUGGCCAAUCUUGGAUUUUCUAAUGUGAGCUUGGACAAAGUAUUCGUCGGUGGAGCCAACAUUUCAGGCUUUCAGAUAGUCAACCCUGAGAACGCGAUUGUGCAGCAGUUUAUGCAGCGCUGGGAGCGGCUAGAUGAAAGAGAAUUCCCAGAAGCACGGAACGCUCCUCUAAAGUAUACGUCGGCUCUGACGCACGACGCCAUCCUGGUGAUCGCGGAGGCCUUCAGGUACCUGCGACGCCAGCGAGUGGACGUCUCGCGCCGGGGUAGCGCCGGAGACUGCCUCGCAAACCCGGCCGUACCCUGGAGCCAGGGCAUUGACAUUGAGAGAGCGCUCAAAACGGUCCAAGUGCAGGGCAUGACCGGGAACAUCCAGUUUGACAACUACGGCCGCAGGACCAACUACACCAUAGACGUGUACGAGAUGAAAACAGGUGGGCCGAGGAAGAUCGGCUACUGGAACGAGUACACGCGAUUUGUAAAUAUUAUGGACCCGCAGGUCUCCAACGACUCCUCAGUGGAAAAUCGAACGAUUGUGGUCACUACUAUUAUGGAAGCUCCUUAUGUGAUGUACAAGAAAAAUUAUAUGCAUCUGGAGGGGAAUGACAGAUAUGAAGGCUACUGCGUGGAUUUAGCAUCUGAGAUUGCCAAACAUGUUGGAAUUAAGUACAAACUGUCUAUAGUAAUGGAUGGGAAGUAUGGAGCCCGAGACACAGACACCAAGACGUGGAACGGGAUGGUGGGUGAACUGGUCUAUGGGAGAGCAGAUAUAGCUGUUGCACCUCUCACCAUUACUCUGGUGCGAGAGGAGGUCAUAGACUUUUCCAAGCCAUUUAUGAGCUUGGGCAUCUCCAUUAUGAUAAAGAAGCCACAAAAGUCCAAGCCUGGCGUGUUCUCCUUCCUGGACCCGCUGGCCUACGAGAUCUGGAUGUGCAUAGUGUUCGCCUACAUCGGGGUGAGCGUGGUCCUGUUCCUGGUCAGUCGCUUCAGUCCCUACGAGUGGAACCUCGAGGACCAGGACGAGACCAAAGACCCGCAGACGCCCCCCGAUCCGCCCAAUGACUUUGGCAUUUUCAAUUCCCUGUGGUUCUCGCUGGGCGCCUUCAUGCAGCAGGGCUGCGACAUCUCUCCCAGGUCUCUGUCGGGCCGAAUCGUCGGCGGCGUGUGGUGGUUCUUCACCCUCAUCAUCAUCUCCUCCUACACAGCCAACUUGGCCGCCUUCUUGACCGUGGAGAGGAUGGUCUCUCCUAUAGAAAGCGCUGAGGAUCUGGCCAAGCAGACAGAGAUAGCAUAUGGCACCCUAGACUCAGGCUCCACUAAAGAGUUCUUUAGGCGAUCCAAAAUAGCCGUGUACGAGAAGAUGUGGUCGUACAUGAAAUCCGCCGAGCCCUCUGUGUUUGUUAAGACCACGCCCGACGGCGUGGCCCGGGUGCGAAAGUCAAAGGGCAAGUUCGCCUUCCUGCUCGAGUCCACCAUGAACGAGUACAUCGAGCAGCGGAAGCCGUGCGACACCAUGAAAGUGGGCGGGAACCUGGACUCCAAAGGCUACGGCGUGGCGACGCCCAAAGGCUCAGCAUUAAGAAAUGCUGUUAACCUGGCAGUUUUAAAACUGAAUGAGCAAGGCCUCUUGGACAAAUUGAAAAACAAAUGGUGGUACGACAAGGGAGAGUGCGGCAGCGGGGGAGGUGACUCCAAGGUCAGCCUCGAUGUCACCACAAUCGGGUACCAUAGUGCAGAGUAAUCGGCAAGGCUGUUAGAAGAACCCAACCAGAACCCAACCAACUGUUUGCCCACAAUCGACCUGCUGCUGCCCCACAGCAGAUCAGCAAAUGAGCUGGUGGUCUGACAAGUGUGUUUAACAGCUCAAGAUCCAACUAAGGAGCCUGUGCUUAGCCAGCAGAAAAACAUUACCUGGUAAUCAAGAUUUGGAGAUGUUCAAUAUCGAAACCAUCGGUUUGAUAGAAGGUUUCUUUCUGUAAUUUACUCCUGUGCCUUUGGGCAAAAUCCGCCGGUAUCAGAGACUGAGUCGUAUCUGUAGCUGGAGUUAAAACACAAUGUAACACAUGUAAUUCCACAAUGUUUCCAAGAUAACAUUUCUGCAUUGGAAAGGCCACAACCUCCAGCUUUUCCCUCACAAAGGUGAAGUGUGCUAAUCCUCUGAACGAGUGGCUUUGCAGCACUUCAACGCCCCACUGCUUCGCACGUGCUGCAUCGGCCACAGCAAACGGGGGAACGGCGGAGUCCGGAGGGGACAAAGCAAAAAAAAGGCCCCGUGUGGUUGGACUCCACCGGCCCUGCUCAUUAACAGCCCCGCUGUGACCCCCCCGACCACAUCCAUCCCUCUUCCCCAUGCGAUUAAAUGAUGAAUGAUGUUUCCAUUAUGGGAGACACUGUACGUGUGCGUGAGUCAUCACUCACCCCUGACAACCUUUGUCCCAAGCUCCUGGGCUUUGUUUUAUAUAUACGGCAAAUGUAUUAUAUGCUUUACAAUAGAGGUUAAUGGCAAGUGACACCAUCAGCACACGUGUGAUGAUAUGGGUCAUGUAAUUGGCUGGAUUAUAGAUGAGCUGCAAGGUCCCAUGGUGUCAUUACACACUCGAAGCCAUUCGUCACGGUUUGGCUCGAACCGAUGUGAACAGUCAGACUGCGGUGACUGCUAAAAUAUCAUCACCACCAGAGACUGCAUGAGGCGCAGAUCUAAUUAUGUAUUACUGGAUCAUUUUGAAAAAAAAACAAUUGCUCCGUCAUCUCUUUCUCUGGUUGAACUGCCAACAUUGCUGCGUUCUGUGGCUCAGGAGAGCUCCCUGUGCUAUUAAAGGGCACACAGGUGCCACUUGAAAGCAUCUCUCUGAAGCGAUGCAAGGGUCCCACAUUGUUGCCAGGCUUUUUAUCAUGCACGCCUACAGGAUGCGUGCGCUGUCUGUCCGCUUCCUGGCUUGAUCCAACGCUCCAGGACUCUGUGAUUAAGGCCAGUUUGGCUGGAAUAAAUCAGCCCGGAGCAAUCAAAUGUUGCAACACUUGACCCUGUACCCGCUUAUAGCGCCGUGUUCCAGCCAGCACCGGGACCGUGCACACUCACACAGUCGCUGCAGCUCUUUCCUGGCCCCAGGCGCAACACAGCGCGGUUUAGAUUGAGUUUCAGACACCGAGCAUGUUACAGGGUAAUUGCAUUGUUAAUCAAUGUCUCCCUGAGCCAAGACAAUGGACUAGCCUUCACAGUCCGUUUCUCCAGAUUGGCUAUGAGGGAUAUACAGUGGUGUAAUCUUCUCUCAGUGCAUUAUGCAUCGCGCCGAUCCCCUUGGGUGACAUUCUUCCUAGGGAGUCGCCAGGUUGCUCAUUUAUUGAUGCACUAUUUUUCUUUCCUUCCAAUUUGCUUUCCACUUUUACCAAGAUUGACCCGAGCCGCAGAUGAUCCAGCCUUGGCACGAAAUGGGAUCGUUGUUAAGUAACUAGCGGCAAUAGGAUAUGAUGGAAAUUUUGAUGCCGCAAUAGUACAUCCACAUACAUCGAGUGGCAAGAAACACGAAUGUGAGAUCAUGCUGCUGCAGCUAAAUAUGGGAGGAGUGAUUUGUCUGAGCUCAGCCUUGCAGCUCUGUGCCGUUUAGUCGAGACACACUCAUCUGACACUAAUCUGGCAUAAUUGGGAGAUAAAGUUUUCUCAGCGAUGUGUCGGGACAGAACACAUAAGAAUUAAUUAAGCUUACACUUUUUAGGCGUAGUUGCUUGACUUCGAAAUUGGUUGUAAUACCUUCAGGAUUGAUUGUUGUCACGGCGGCGUCUGUAGCAUUAGCCGUCGCAGGACUGCGCCGACGUUGCUGUAAUGAGAAGCUGCUGUUGGAUUUUUCUGUUUGCUGAGACAAAGCUUCUGUUAGACUGAACUUGUUCAGCCGCGCUCACAAAGCCCCCGCGAUUACAACGCUCCCAAACCUUUUCCCGCCGAUUCUCCACAUUCGAGACUCGCAGACUGCACUUGUACCUGCCAGUCGCCCUGCUAACAGCGUCUGCCGAUUACUCGAAGCGAUACGGGCAGGUCCUGGCUUUAGACUAGGGGUUACACAGGUAAUAGCUAGAAUGCCUGCUCUCUGUGAUGUUGCCAUGGCCAGGAGCCCUGCUUUAUCGCUUUGUAAAGUAUGUAGUAGUUUAAAAGUUGAAUAACAUAAAAUAACAUAAUAUAAUGUUAUUUAUGUUAUUUCCCACGUGAAGAACUCCUGUAAACCUUGCAGUAUUGAAACUCAGUGAACAAGGCAUCUUAGACAAGCUGAAAAACAAAUGGUGGUACGAUAAGGGUGAAUGUGGAACCAAGGACUCUGGAAGUAAGGACAAGACAAGUGCUCUCAGCCU